UACGUAGGGGGCUAGCGUUGUUCGGAAUUACUGGGCGUAAAGCGCGCGCAGGCGGCUAUCCAAGUCAGUGGUGAAAGCCCGGAACUCAACUCCGGAACUGCCAUUGAAACUGUUUAGCUUGAGGACGAGAGAGGUGAGUGGAAUUCCCAGUGUAGAGGUGAAAUUCGUAGAUAUUGGGAAGAACACCGGUGGCGAAGGCGGCUCACUGGCUCGUAUCUGACGCUCAGGCGCGACAGCGUGGGGAUCAAACAGG
rnacentral:rRNA from 1 species